GAUGAACGCUGACCGAAUGCUUAACACAUGCAAGUCAACUUGAAUUUGGGUUUUUUCACUUAGAUUUGGGUGGCGGACGGGUGAGUAACGCGUAAAGAACUUGCCUCACAGCUAGGGACAACAUUUGGAAACGAAUGCUAAUACCUGAUAUUAUGAUUAUAAGGCAUCUUAGAAUUAUGAAAGCUAUAUGCGCUGUGAGAGAGCUUUGCGUCCCAUUAGCUAGUUGGAGAGGUAACGGCUCACCAAGGCGAUGAUGGGUAGCCGGCCUGAGAGGGUGAACGGCCACAAGGGGACUGAGACACGGCCCUUACUCCUACGGGAGGCAGCAGUGGGGAAUAUUGGACAAUGGACCAAGAGUCUGAUCCAGCAAUUCUGUGUGCACGAUGACGUUUUUCGGAAUGUAAAGUGCUUUCAGUUGGGAAGAAAAAAAUGACGGUACCAACAGAAGAAGUGACGGCUAAAUACGUG
rnacentral:rRNA from 1 species